rnacentral:rRNA from 1 species
AGAGCGAACGCUGGCGGCAGGCUUAACACAUGCAAGUCGAGCGGGCGUAGCAAUACGUCAGCGGCAGACGGGUGAGUAACGCGUGGGAACGUACCUUUUGGUUCGGAACAACACAGGGAAACUUGUGCUAAUACCGGAUAAGCCCUUACGGGGAAAGAUUUAUCGCCAAAAGAUCGGCCCGCGUCUGAUUAGCUAGUUGGUGAGGUAACGGCUCACCAAGGCGACGAUCAGUAGCUGGUCUGAGAGGAUGAUCAGCCACAUUGGGACUGAGACACGGCCCAAACUCCUACGGGAGGCAGCAGUGGGAAUAUUGGACAAUGGGCGCAAGCCUGAUCCAGCCAUGCCGCGUGAGUGAUGAAGGCCCUAGGGUUGUAAAGCUUCUUUUGUGCGGGAAGAUAAUGACGGUACCGCAAGAAUAAGCCCCGGCUAACUUCGCGCCAGCAGCCGC